NNNNNNNNNNNNNNNNNNNNNNNNNNNNNNNNNNNNNNNNNNNNNNNNNNNNNNNNNNNAGGACGCGCCGUGCGGCUGCGGCGCCCCGGGGCUCUGCUGCGCCGCCGUCCCUCGCUCCCACCCCAUGCCACCGUCCCUCGCCACAUCCCUCGCAGCCGUCCCUCGCCCCCGUCCUGCAUCACCAUCCCUCGCUCCCAUCCUGCGCCACCAUCCCUCAUCACUGUCCCUCAGCCCUGUCCUUUGCCCCUGUCCAGCGCCACCAUCCCUCACCACCGCCCUGUGCCACCAUCCCUCACCCUGUACCUCACCCACAUCGUGUGCCACCAUCCCUCACCCCCAUCCCCUACCACCAUGCCUCACCACCAUCCCUCACCCCGUCCCAUAUCACCAUCCCUCACCACCAUCCCUUGCCACUGUCCUGUGCCACCAUCCCUCACCACCGUCCUUUGCCACUAUCCCUUGCCCUGUCCCUCGCCUCCAUCCAGUGCCACCAUCCCUCGCCCCCAUCCCAUCCCACCAUCCCUCACCACCAUCCCUCACCCCUGUUCCAUCCCACCAUCCCUCACCACCAUCCCUCACCACUGUGCUGUGCCACCAUCCCUCGCCCUGUACCUCGCCCACAUCCUGUGCCACCAUCCCUCGUCCUUUCCCUUGCCUCCAUCCAGUGCCACCAUCCCUUGCCCGCGUCCCAUACCACUAUCCCUCACCAUCAUCCCUCACCCCGUCCCAUACCACCAUCCCUCGCCCCCGUCCCAUACCACCAUCCCUUACCACCAUCCCUUGCCACCAUUCCUCGCCCCGUCCCUUGCCCCGUCCCAUACCACCAUCCCUCACCCCUGCCCCUCACCCCCGCCCCGCACCCCCAUCCUGUGCCACCAUCCCUCACCAUCAUCCCUCGCCCCAUCCCAUACUACCAUCGCUCACCCCUGUCCCAUACCACCAUCCCUCACCACCAUCCCUCACCCCUGUCCCAUACCACCAUCCCUCCCCCCCGUCCCACACCACCAUCCCUCGCCCCCGUCCCAUGCCCCCAUCCCUCACCACCAUCACUCGCCCCAUCCCAUACUACCAUCCCUCACCCCCAUCCCAUACCACCAUCCCUCACCCCCAUCCUGCGCCCCCGUCCAGUGCCACCAUCUCUCGCCACCAUCUGCAUACUUCCAGGGCGGGUCGGGACUCCCGCGCGCAGCCCCAAAGCUCCCUAUUAAAUAUUAACGCA
rnacentral:lncRNA from 1 species